rnacentral:rRNA from 1 species
AUUGAACGCUGGCUGCAGGCCUAACACAUGCAAGUCGAACGAGUGGCGGACGGGUGAGUAAUGUCUUGGAAACUGCCCGAUGGAGGGGGAUAACUACUGGAAACGGUAGCUAAUACCGCCUACCAUCGGAUGUGCCCAGAUGGGAUUAGCUAGUAGGUGGAGUAACGGCUCACCUAGGAGACGAUCCCUAGCUGGUCUGAGAUGAUGACCAGCCACACUGGAACUGAGACACGGUCCAGACUCGUACGGGAGGCAGCAGGGGGGAAUAUUGCACAAUGGGCGCAAGCCUGAUGCAGCCAUGCCGCGUGUAUGAAGAAGGACGUCGGGUUGUAAAGUACUUUCAGCGGGGAGGCGUUACCCGCAGAAGAAGAACCGGCUAACUCCGUGCAAGCAGCCGAGGUAAUGC